AUACGAGGGGUGCAAGCGUUAAUCGGAAUUACUGGGCGUAAAGCGUUCGUAGGCGGUUUGUUAAGCAAGAUGUGAAAGCCCUGGGCUCAACCUGGGAACUGCAUUUUGAACUGGCAAGCUAGAAUACUGUAGAGGGUGGUGGAAUUUCCAGUGUAGCGGUGAAAUGCGUAGAGAUUGGAAGGAACAUCAGUGGCGAAGGCGGCCACCUGGAUAGAUAUUGACGCUGAGGAACGAAAGCGUGGGGAGCGAACAGGAUUAGAUACCCCGGUAGUCC
rnacentral:rRNA from 1 species